AGAAAAUAGAUACAAAUUGUGGAGAACACUUUAAAAUAAGAUGGAAUUGUAUAACCCUAAGUGUGCUAUAAGUAUGCUGUAACCCUAAAGUAUGCUGUGACUUUAAGAGUGCUGUGAGUGAUCUGUAACCAUAGUAACCAUAAGAUAUAGAAGUAGAACCUUAAGCAGUGUGGAAUUGAUAAGGAUGCACCCCGAACGGGACAAGGCAUGGUCCAAAAUGGACAGUGUGAUAAGUCUGAACCAAUACCACAAACGCCCAGUUAGAAUAGUAUAAAAGGAGCUGAAGACCUCAAGCAAGUCGACGAUCCGUCCCACCGACCAGUCUACUAGUCAGUCUGUUGAUCUGACUACCGACCGGGACACAUGCACCUGAUCCCGCUGGAAGGAGCAUCGUCGCCGACCAGACAAGGCCAGAAGACGAGGCCAGCGGAGAGACGGACAGCCUAGCGCCGACUCGACGCCCUUCGUCUACGGAUCGGACCCUCUGACCCGACGGGAGGAAACAUUGCGCUCCCAUAAGGACUUGCGCAGUACAGGCCUCCAGGCAAAUAUCAACAAACAAAAUUAACGAUUUCCGAAGAGGAAGCAAAUCAACUGGUGCCAGACUUCUUGAUGAUAAUACCCGCCAACACAACAGUGGAGCAACAUUUUCCAAACACAAGAAAGCUGUAUUUUAAGUACCAAGAACAGCAUUCCUGCGAGAAACAGCUGACAUUCCAGGUUUGGAACAACGCAAGUAUAAGAUGACUAUGUUGAACCCCUGGACCCUGAUGUCAGCAAGAUCUCCAGGGAGGCGCCACCAAGGACUAGAAGACUUCAACCACUUGGGCAAAGAAUCAGUCAACCAAGCCAGCUAAAUGAAAACGUGGACACUGCAGCUGGAGUGAGCCGCCCGUGCACACGGUCACACACAGUGGCCAGGAGCAGACUGAGGCUGUGUGUAACUGCAAGAAGACAGCACUGAAAGCUCCGAGUCUGGCACCUCCUAGUCUCUACCUUGUGUAUCUCUUCCUCUGCUGCUUCUAAUUUGUGUUUUCUUUCCCUGUUAUAAAUGUGUCUUGGAGUAUAAUUGCUUUGUUAGCACUUUCUAGCAAAUAUCAAACCUGAGGGUGGCUUUGAGAAACCCCGAAUUAGAAAUCGCCAAGACACUGUCCACUACAGAAGAAAGUCAAGUAUUUGUAACAGAAAGUAAUUUGCUUAUUUCUUGAUAACUUCUUCUCUGGAAUAAAUAUGUAAUUGGUCCUAGCUGGGUGUGGGUUGAGGCCAGCCUGGGCUGCAUUACAUAGUGAGUUCAAGUAAUCAGUCCCGCUUUAAAGAAUUCUCUUUUGAGAACAGUAAGAAAGACCAAUAUGAUUACUAAUGCUAGCCUCUACCUGAUUCUGUUCAAAGGUAGUUAAUAGUUACAAGAUUUAUGUU
ensembl:lncRNA